ACAACUUCAUGAUCUUUGGGCUAAAAUCAAAUCUAGUAUGUCUAUUAUCAGUUUAAUAACUGAUAUAUCCUCUCUUCAAGAACUACAUAGUAAAUGGAUCUUUGGAGUCUGGAGAUGGAGAAGUUUGUUCCUUCCACAAUAUACAUCUUCCUGGUGUUACGGUACCACCAAGAAUGAUGCAACCCCU